rnacentral:tRNA from 1 species
GAGGGUGUAGCUCAGUGGUAGAACACAUGCUUAGCAUGCACAAGGUCCUGAGUUCAAUCCCCAGCACCUCCA